CUGCUUGUUGCCCUCCUUUUCACCCUAUCUAAUACUGGGGCAGGGAUAGAUAAAGAGGAUGUGAUUUAUUAUGCAAAUUAAAUGCUCACAUAGCUGGGAAAUUCUGCACAGUUGCAGAUGGAAGGCUCGAUCCUGUUGGGGAAUGAACCAGACCUUGGAGGAACCUAAGAAUGACAUCCUGGAUGUGAUACUGAAUGCUGCUUAGAGUGACAAUCUGUAUAUAACAUAUUCCCAGUAAAGAAGAGCAUAGGCUGGUGUAGGUUUUCAGAGCAAUAAUCCAAAUAAAUAAUGAGCAAGUACUUUUUUGACUAUUUCGGAUUUAGAAGAUGCUUUCUUUUGCAUUCUGGUGGAUGAGCAGAAAUCCAACAAUGGGAAGAAAGAUGCAGGACAGUACUACCACAGAGAUCAAGAAACAGCUCUACUCUCUUUGGUAAUGUAGUUGCAAAAGAACUGGAACAAUGGUCAGGUAAUGAUAACAACAUAAUUCCAUGCCAAUAUGUGAAUGAAAGAAGGUUGAUUGGCAGAAAUACUGAGACAUUCAAAAAUGAAAAACAAUUUCUGCAGUUUGGUGGAUAAAUCUGUUGGGAGGAAUGGGUUAAAGGUGAGGAAUGUUAUCAACAGCUCAAGAGACUCUGCAGCUGGGAAUAAUCCUUCAUAAAGCAGAGUGAACAGCAGCCCAGUGAGGCUGUAGCAUGGAGAAGUUCAACAGUGUCUGUGUGUGCCUCUGCCUGGGUGUUGCUUUGGGGAUCCCCCAGUUAGCAGGACAAUGGAAACAGAUUUGCUCUAAGUGUUUAAACUGUGGGUUUGUGGUAUUAUGGUUGGCUGCCUGUGAACUUUGAAUCAUGAACUGUGAAUUGACAAAUUCUCACAACCACUAGAAAAUCAAUCUGCCGUGCAAAUAAUCCUAAAAUCCCUGUAGGACUGGUAAAAAUGGGAAUAGCUCCAGGGGAAUACUGGCAAAUAGAUUUCUCCAAGAUAUCUAAAUGUAGAUGUUAUAAGGAUCUGCUAGUUUUGGUUGAUACUGUUUCAGGAUGUGCAGAAGAUUUCCAUUGCUGCACCAGUUGAGCCAGGGAGGUUGUUAAAAUUUUUAAUAAAAGAAAUAAUUCUUAGAUUUGUAAUUCCAGAGAUUUUAUCUUCAGACAACAGAGGUGGUUCAGGGAUUGUCUACUUUCCUUUGUUUAAGGGGCAUUUGCACACCCCUCAGAGAAAACAAUCUAAUGAAAAAGUAGAAAGGUUGAAUCAAGACAAAUUGUCAAAUUUUAGGUAGAUGUAUUAUCUGUUGCUUUACUGAGAAUCCAGAUUACUCCAUGUGCUAGAGAGGGAGUAAACUCCUUUGAAAUUCUGUAUGGCAGAUUACACCCAAUUAAUACUGUGGUGAUGAAAGGUGAUCAAAUGCAUGUGAAAGAUCAUGAUAUAUCGAGAAAUUAUCUAUUAUCUCUCUCUCUCAUGGGUUUUGUCCUCUUUGAAUGGUACCUCAACCCUCUCUCCCUUCCUUUGGAUGUGGCUGUCCACAGCUUUCAAUCAGGAGACACUGUUUAUAUCCAGACCUAGAAGGAUGAACUUCUGGUGGGAAAGAAAAUGUUUCUCUCCAACGUUGCUGCCGCAGCUUAUGGGCUGCAAUGGGAAACUAAAAAGCACCAAUAUCUUUCUAUCCUGGCUCUUUUGUGUGGGAACAUUUGGCUGACUUUUUCAUUUUUGGAGCUGCAUCUUGUGCUCGGUGACAAAGCACCAGGAUACAUUUAGAUUGUUAGGCAGAUGCAUACCACCAUCUAGUGGUGUUCUGGAAAGGCACCGGGGGAAGGUAAAGAGCCAGCUCUUGCUCAUCUGCACUUUCCCUUUCCACCCUCUAAAGGGUACCACCAAAUCUGAGGCCAUGCAAUCUCCUUCCCAAAAUUGUGCCAUCUCAUACUUCCACUCCAGGAAAAGCCCAGCUCACAACUGAAGAAGUCCAGCAACUGCUCCCACAGAAAAAGUGCCAGGACAGAAAGCUGAUGCUCGCCUUCUUUCUCCAUGGAGUCUAUAAGCUGCACUAGCAACUCUGGGGAUAUGUGCUUUCCUUCCCACCUAUAUAUACCAUAACGUUAUUUACUCUCAGCAGACUCCAGCUCAAAAAUUGAAAACAUCCAGAGACUGCUUGCAUAAAGAAGUUUCCAGGCAGAAAGAUGUUGCUGGCACCUUUUCCUUGUAGACUGUCAAUUGCACCACCAAUACUGAGGCCAUGCACUUUCCUUGCCAGCUAAAUCAUCACACAUGAUCACUCUGGAGAGAAACCAUCUCCAUACCAGAAAAUGCUCAGCAAUGGCUCCUACACAAAAGGCUGAAGGACAGAAGGCUGUUGCUGGACUUCACUCUGCCCUGCAGCCGAUAAAUUGCACCAAAACCACUAUGGUUAUGUGCUCUCCUUAAAUCUACUGUUAGGAAACUUUCCUGUCUGACCAGCCAGCAGCCACUCUGGCAGUCACUCCCAGCUCCAGAUACUGUUAUUGCUGGGACUGAGGCCCCUUCACAAAGAGUGGCUCCAGUGAUCCCAUGGGCACCCCUCCUGCUCCCCACACUCACACAGUCAGAGCAGGUUCCCUUACUGGAUCAACCCUCAGUUUCCCAUAGCAGAGCCCCAGAUAUCUGGGCAGGGUUGGGGCACACGGAGUGCAGCUUGGUGUGAUGGGGAAGGGCUGUGGGGGGAUUAAAAGUAGAAAUGGAAGGCCAGCAACAGCUCUGUCCUGUCACCUUUACUGUGGGAGCAGCCACUGAACAUUUACAGUUUUAGAGGUGGGCUCCAGAAUGAGAGUGCGAGGGUGGGAACAGGGCAUAUAGCCCCAGUGUUGGUGGGACACUUCAGGAAAUAACUCCAGAAAUAGUGCAAAUUUAGUUGCCCAGCCAACAAAAUGGACAAUGACACUCUCUAAAACACCACAAGCAUAGCUCCAAACUUGAAAACCUCCAGUGAUUGCUCCUACACAAAAUUUACCCAGAGAAAAAGCUGUUUGCCUUCACCUUCCCUUGCAACUUAUAAACUGCAUGACCAGCACUGGGACUCUAUGCUUUCCUUCCCACCUAAAUGUACUGUCACAGUAUUUACUCUUGUCAGAGCCCAGCUCCAAAAUUGAUAGCUCCCAGGCACUACUACCACACAAAAUUUAUCAGGAGAGACAGAUUUUGCUGGUGUUUGCAUUCCUGCUGUCCCUGUUCCACAGCACCACUAGAUGGAGUGAUGCACUUGUCUAGGAAAUUAGAUGUACCCUGGCACCAAAUAUAGCUCCAAAAUAGAAAAUGUCCAGCCACUACUACUCCCCACAAAAAAACGGCCAGGACAGAGAGCUGUUGCUGGCUCUAGGUCUAUGCAGAAAGUGAUCUGAGGGAUGAAAAGUGAUCAAAAGUGUACAUGAGGGUCCCUGGGUUUCAAGGAAGGGCACUCAGAGGACCAUGGGGUGCACAGGAUGACAUUUGGUUCUCAAAUCCACACAGAAAGGGACAUGAAGGGUAAGAGAUGAACACACAAUAGUGUAAUUCCCUCUUGCCCCCUGCCCCCAUCCCCCUUACUUCUCUGAGUUUUGUAACAUUUGGUUGGUAGAGAUGAAGCCAGGACAUGAUGCACGUGUGCAGUCAGGGAGAGGCAUGCUGGCCAUUGCCCACUAACCCUGGGUAAUAUGGCACCAACCUAAAAUGCUAUUGCAGCAGCACUGGAUUUGAUAAUUCCAGUUCAUAAACCAAAUGCUUUCUGUAAAACACUACUUCUAUUGUAGGUAUGGCCAUAGACUUCCAACUUUCAAGAGUGAGACUUUUAGGGUUAAACAACAAAGGAACUAAAACAAACUGAGGUUACGUGGAAUAACACACUGCAAAGAAGUCCUCUGGAAAGCAAGAUCAGAGCCCUGAAAGCCACCUGUGGUUAGCCUAAAAUUGUUGAUGCAUUUACAGUUGUUGCUUUAAUUUGUAGUGUGUAAAAAUUAAAAACCAGUGCCCAUAAAAACUACCAAACAGCUCUGAUGCUUUAAAAAAACUCAACUGAAUUUUCAUAUAUCAUGUUUCAUUCUAACUAAUUUACUUUUUGUGAAGUUUAGGUAGAAAGCAGCUGAGAGCACUUGCUGCACAUUAAUAGUUGCUGCUGUUUGUAAAACUGUAUGUCAUAGAAUUAUGAAGAAUUCUGCUUUGAAGAAUUAAAACUAUGGUUGCAUAGAUGUGGGCAAAAUUCUAGAGAAACUUUGCCACAAGUAACUUGCAUUUCAAAAUUAAUCUACUUCAGCAAAUGCUUAUACCCUUUCCAGAACUGCUUCUUCCAAAUGCAAAGGCUACUUGAAUCCACCUUCAAAAAAAUUAAUAGAAGAAAUUCAAUUUUACAUGCAUGGGAAGUUGUAGAAAGUGAACUUGGAUUUCAGUGAAGUGAAUAUUUUUCCUGAAAAUUCUUUGUAAUAAAAAUUAUACUAAUUCUGCCAUGUAACAAAAUUGAUAUCAUGUGAGCAAUUGCAACUCCCCAAUACAGCACAAAGAAGAGUGAUAAAUAAUUGCAGUGAAUGCUUUUUAGCUCAAAAAACUAAACAUACACAUAUAUAUGGAUUGAUACAUUUGCAUAGAUGAGAUUAAUAGGCAAAGAAGGUAGCUCCUUGAUAAAUAGUUCAGAACAGAGUCAUUUUUAUUUGUUAGCUUGAUUGACUGGAUAGAUUCAAUCCAGACAAAUAGAGAGGGUUGAAUUGUUAAUUUUGGAUGACAUGCUGAAUUCUAGCAUAUCUGAGAAAUGCAAUGGUCUAGGGUACAAUGGAUCAAAAAAGUUUUUUCUUAUGAAAUUAAAGAAAAUUUUCUGUUACUCCAAAGUAUAGGAACCUAACUGGGAAAUGUACCUAAAGAAUUACUUUUAAAAAACAGUGAAAUGGGGCAGAAUUUAAUGCUUCCCAGUGUAAUACCUCAUGACCUAUAGAAAAAACAUGAAGAAAAUAACCACUCACCCAAUCAUUCCCCCCAACUCCCAAGCUUUCAGUUAUGAAAGUUAUGUCAGGACUUCCACUUUUUCAAAACUUCCCCAGGAUACCUUUCCUAACUAUCCUAAAAACUUGGGAGUUGGGGAGACUAUGUCAGUGUUUUAGGGUUUCUUUUUUUAACUUUUGGACUUUUGGGGUAUUUUUCUUGCCCUUUGCAUUGUGUCUGUAUGUCUCUGUUUUUGUGAUUCAUGUGUUUUGUUUCUUUGCCCUGUGGUCCCUUGGCACUUCAUUUUUGCUGUCAUCUAUAUCAGUUUGUUUUAUUGUCUUUACAGUUAGGGUUAGUUCUUUCUCAUUCAGAUCCUUGUGCCUUGAAAACGACCCUUGCAGUCUUCCCUCCCUCCUUUCCCUAAGUAAAAAUCAUCUCUAGUGCUGGAAAUCAGAUCUUCACAAGCCUGAAACUUGUCUACAUUAUUAGGUGAGUAUCACCUUUAAAAGGAGUUAUUGCAUUCACAAAACACAAGGAAAUGCCUGCAUAUACAAAUCUGCAUUCAAGGAACUUAACUCAUGUUGUGAAUGUGGCAUACAAAACUGGUAGAAGCUAGAAUUAAGCCUGCUUGUGCAGCCAUGGUUUGGUCCACUGAUUAUGUUGCAGUAAGGCCUGGCAUUGCUGGACUCCCGUCUUUCCUCACAGGCCUUUUGUUAUUCAUGAGCUGCUGCAGUUUGUUUCAUGACAAGUGUCCAAUUUCUACAGACUUCAAAAAGUUAACUUUCUUAAUGAGAUUUUCUUCCCAGCUCUGUAUUCUUUAAUUCCCUUGAUUACUUCCUUAUCUCCUACAUUUAAUAAUUGCCUUCAGAAUAGCCUGACAUGAUAUAUGAAGACUGUGUGGAAGAAGGUGAUGAUGGUCAGUCCCACAGCAGGGCAGUGGGCAAAACAACCUAAACACAGGGUUGUUUUGCUCUUGUGACAGUCUCCAGCCUUGCUCACCUUUCCCAGCCUAUUGGCAGCAGCCUCAGUCACUGCACAGCCCUGCUGCACUUUGAUAAAGCUCAUCCAUGUAUUUUCUUACUGUUUCGCCUCUGGUCUUCCCAGUCUGUCAAUGAUCCUGUUUCAACUUCAGGCUGCCCCUCCCUGUUCAUUGUGCACCCAGGUCACCCUUUACUGCUCACUCUGCCUUGCCAGCCUCCACUCCCCACUGGGCAGUUCAAAGGUGGGUAGUGGGCCAGUGAGAGAUGGAUAAAUUCCAGCACAUUGUGACUAAGCAGGUGCUCACCACUGGGAGCCACUGCCAGUGUCAGCUCCCAUGAGAUCCUCCAGGACUUUCAUGCCUGAGCCUUUAAUCCUUUUCCAGCAGUCAUAAAACUCCAGUUUGGCCAAAUACUCCCCUAAGCCAGAGAAGGCUUGAGCCACUGAGAGAUUUGAGCAGAUAAAAUGCUCCUCAGAUUCUCAUUGCUAGGAUAUAGGGAAAUGACCUUCUGAAAUUCCCUGCUUAGUGGAAACUCUUUGUUUGUAUCACCACAAUGGAGCUGGUUAGAAUUGCCAAAGCUUGGCAUCCACACCAAUUGAUCUUUGGCAGGAGUGAAUAGCAAGAAAGGGUAUCUGCAGCAGCACCUGCACUUCUAUCUGACUUACACUGAACUAGCAAUUGCUUAGUUUUUGAAUCUCAGGUCAUUUAAGCAAAAAAAAAAAAAAAAAAA
ensembl:lncRNA